CUGAGGCGAGCUGCUGAGCGGGGAGCCCGGGAACACUGAGGCGAAAGCGGAAGGGACCCUGGUGUGAUGAGACCUACGGAUGCAGCCACGUGUUUCUGGGACAGGAAGGCGAUAGUAGUGAAUUAAAUGAAGAUUGAUCCUCCAGCCAUCCAGCCCCAGAGCCUGUUCUCAGCAACACUGUGGCGUCUCUGAAGUGGCCAUCACAGUAGGUACACAUAGCGCUAUCUUAUGCCCUGCCUCCCUUUCAAAGCUAAGAUAGAUGUUGCAGUGGACAUUUGCUGAAAGAUUCCUUUCAUUUUCAAUGGCUACAUUUUUAGUUUUUGUAUUUCAGUAAAAAAUUAAUUAAACCAGGAGAUUCCAUAAAAUUGUAUUUUUCAGUAAGUGAAUUCUGAACUUGAGAAAAUCAGUGAAAUAACAUGUGACUUUCUAGAAUGAUCUUUCCUAUAGAAAUGUUUGCAUCUUGAUGUGCAGAGCACGAUGUAGUACGGAGUUCAGCUCCCUCUUCUAAAACCUGGAAAUUCAGGAGGUUGCAGGAAACACAGGAUUGGUGGAAAUCUGCAUUUUGACUGAAUCUUUUGUUUGAGUCCAGAGGAAGUGGGAACAUUUGGACUCAGUCCCUAAAAACCACAGCUACCAACUGGAAAAAUUCCAAGAAAAGCAAAGGUCAGUGCCACAGCAGUGUGAUCCCUCAGAAGGCUCAGUGGACUUCAGUUUUCCUCCUCAGUGCUGUUCUUAAAGCCGGCCUAAGCCCUGA